rnacentral:rRNA from 1 species
GACGAACGCUGGCGGCGUGCUUAACACAUGCAAGUCGAACGGAAAGGCCCUGCUUUUGUGGGGUGCUCGAGUGGCGAACGGGUGAGUAACACGUGAGUAACCUGCCCUUGACUUUGGGAUAACUUCAGGAAACUGGGGCUAAUACCGGAUAGGAGCUCCUGCUGCAUGGAGGGGGUUGGAAAGUUUCGGCGGUUGGGGAUGGACUCGCGGCUUAUCAGCUUGUUGGUGGGGUAGUGGCUUACCAAGGCUUUGACGGGUAGCCGGCCUGAGAGGGUGACCGGCCACAUUGGGACUGAGAUACGGCCCAGACUCCUACGGGAGGCAGCAGUGGGGAAUAUUGCACAAUGGGCGGAAGCCUGAUGCGGCAACGCCGCGUGCGGGAUGACGGCCUGCGGGUUGUAAACCGCUUUCGCCUGUGACGAAGCGUGAGUGACGGUAAUGGGUAAAGAAGCACCGGCUAACUACGUG